UGCCAGUUUGGGGUGAGAUCUCACUGAAAUCACACUUGCAGUGUUCAAGAUCUCAUACAAUUUUAGUGAGAUCUUACCUUAAAUUGGCG